AUUGAACGCUGGCGGCAGGCCUAACACAUGCAAGUCGAGCGAGUGGCGGACGGGUGAGUAAUGUAUGGGGAUCUGCCCGAUAGAGGGGGAUAACUACUGGAAACGGUGGCUAAUACCGCAUACCAUCGGAUGUACCCAUAUGGGAUGAGCUUGUAGGUGGGGUAAAGGCUGACCUAGGCGACGAUCUCUAGCUGGUCUUAGAGGAUGAUCAGCCACACUGGGACUGAGACACGGCCCAGACUCCUACGUGAGGCAGCAGUGGGGAAUAUGGCACAAUGGGCGAAAGCCUGAUGGAGCCAUGUCGCGUGUAUGAAGAAGGCCUUAGGGUUGUAAAGUACUUUCAGCGGGGAGGCGAUACCCGAAGAAGAAGCACCGGCUAACGAAGUGCCAGCAGCCGCGGUAAUAC
rnacentral:rRNA from 1 species